AUCAAAAUCUGCAUCUUACCUAAAGUCUAAGAAGUGAACUUGAUUACCUUUCAGAAUGACCUGAUACAUUUGAAAAUCUGGAAUACCUGGCUUCUAUUCCCAAACCCCUUUCAACAUGUUUGGAGUCCAGUGAACUGUGCAUUUUCAGAAAAUUUCCUUACGAAUAGCCAAGCUCAGGAACUGUCCAUCUUGUUCAUUUUCUCUGUUCUGACUCUGUAUAUUCAAGAUUAUAAGCCAACAUGAAAAUAAGGGUCAACUGAAUUAUCCCUACACUAUCAGUAAUGUUUCCACCCAGCAUCUACUAUCAACAAAAAACCCCUAUGCAGUAUAAAUUUCCAGAACACCUGCAGAGGAUAAUAGGACUCCUGCUGCCGAUGGAGGAGAGUGUAGGUCACAGCAACUGCGUGAGGGAAUUGCCCAGCAAACCAAAGAUUACAGCACCUGGCCAGUAAUCCCACCAGGCAACAAAGCCGAGAACGAGCAUCACAAGUGCCACAUAUACUCCUAAGCGGCCUUGUUAGAGGAGAGGAUGAAGGAGAAGAAGUAUUUGAAGAAAUAUUGGCUAGAAAUUUUUCAAAUUUGAUCAAAAAUGAAUUUCAGCAAGGUAAUUUCAGCCAUUUAGAUGUCUCCAGUCCCAAUUCCAGCCUCACCCAUUCUCCGACAAGAUACAAGAUCAUACAUUGUCCAAGAACUUCUGUUGGUACAAUGGAGGUAAGAGCACAAUGUAUUUGGGGGCGCUGCUGACACUGAGGGUCUUCUGACUCCACCAGACAACUCUAGUACACACUUUCCCCACUGAAUGACUUCAGUCUCCUUCAGCCACCCUGACACAGGCUCUUCAAACAUUUUGAAAGUAUUAGACAGAUUCAACUCCAGCUUAAAUUUAAGUGGAGAAUAACAAUGAUUUCUGAGAACUAAUGAACCUGGGGAAGCAAAAGAAGUAGAGCAAACUUAAUUCACAGUGUAGCUAGGAAUCAGAUUGGGUGGAAUCAAGAGAAGAUCACAGGACUGACCCUCAAGAACUCAUAUUGCCGCUGGGCCCUUAUUUUCACAAGACUGGGCCAUAUAUGAGUAUGUGUGACACCUGCGAUGAUUUCUGAGGCAAGAACAAUUGUACCAACUGAUUUAAAUAUGAGGAAGUUUGUUACUUCACAAAACUGAACUUUCAGAAGUGGGGCACACCCCAGGGCAGGCUCAGUCAGCAGCUCAGCUGUGUUGACAAGAAACAUGUUCUUUCCUUCUCAUUCUAUUUUUCUCAACCAGCAAAUCACCCUAGGGUUGCUUUCCUUCAAGUUUCAAGAAAGCUGCCCAGGCCCAGGGCUACACGUAUGUACUUAGUCAUAUCUAGCAGGCGAAGAAGUCAAGAAAACUAUUCUUGCAGUCAGGGAAUCUUUACUGAUCCCCUUAAUCUGAUGGAGUGAGUGUGAGUCAGGCCUAUAAGGAAAAAGAUAAGUACCUUAGGUGCUAGCAGAAUUAUUGUAGAACACAAACAGGAUUUCCUCAAGUCAGGUUCCUGAACUGGGCUUGUGAUGAGGGAGGUUUGAUAUUACACACCUUGGUAAUUUAGAAAAUCUUCCUUAGCAAUAGUUAAUUAUACUUUCAUUUACUUUAUGUUACUAAAGAGCAAACUGACAGGUCCAUGGCGUUGCUCUUGAAACUGUCUGGUUGCUCACCUCAUGAGGACUUUCUGUAGUGGGAGACAUUUUUCUAACCCCUUGAGAAGGGCUGAGGUCUGGUAGGCAACAACUGAGGCUGUUUGUAAACAUUUCUAGUGAUAGAUGAUAUUAAACAUCAUGCUAAUAAUAGAGUCAGUUCACCCACAGCACCACUCAGAAAAUAUCCAAGGCUCUAACAGCAACAACAAAAUCCAAAACAAUAAUAACACAAAAUGGAAGCGAGGACACCUACUUCGAUGGAUUGAAAAUUAUGCAACAAGUGUUGGUUGAAAAAUCUCCAGAUGACAAUGACUUCUUCCGUGACUCCUCUAAGCUAACCUGUUUGCAUAGUGAAACCAGUUUCCUGAUCGAGGCUUUCAUACUCAGAUUUGCAUUCUAAGUUGGCCUCUCCACUAUGCACGAUAUGCUUCCCCAGGAAUGAGAAAAACGAAACAGUGGCUGCAUAUUUGUGAUCUGUUCUUCCACAUGAAGUCAGAGUCUGUAGUGUAAGAAUUAGUAAUUCAGUCACAAUGCAACUUUGGUGAAAAAGGUGCAACAAAAGGUGAAAAGAUAAGUUGGUGACUUCAGUUUUACUAUUUGCAGACUGACUUUGUUGUUAUUAAUGAUGACUGCAGAGUUUAUAUGGUGUCUGAGGUGCAGCUAAAACAACUACAAGUUUAGCUCUCUGCCGUCUGUCUCAUUAACAGGCACCGGUUACACUGCAUGCACCUGGCCACUUUGGAGGUGCCCUGCGGCCCGUUACCCCUGCGCAUAGUGUAGGGUGUCUCCGGGUAGGUGGAAACAGAAGGAGGCUACUGAGUAGGCUGAACGAAAUAAAGAGGGAAAAAGCACACAAGGAAAACCGUAAUUUUAAAAAUAAAAACUGCAGAUUCAGGACACAAA
rnacentral:lncRNA from 1 species